GAAUCGCGAUAAGUAAUGUGAAUUGCAGAUUUCCAGUGAAUCAUCGAAUCUUUGAACGCACUUUGCGCUCCUUGGUACUCCGAGGAGCAUGCCUGUUUGAGUGUCAUGUUUACUCUCAACCAUGUCUUCGAUUCAUUUCGAGGCAUGGCUUGGAUUUGGGAGCUUGCCGGCCUUGUGGUCGACUCUCCUUAAAUGCAUUAGCGAAUGGGACGCGUCAGUGGGUCCGGCGGGCAAUCGAUAGCCUUUCGACGUGAUAAAGAUCAUAUAUCGGAGUCGAGGCUCGCGCGUCGGGUGUAAGACAUGUUCUCUUUUUGCUUCCAAUCCCCAACCUGCUUUAGCUAGUAGUCGGUCGAUCGACCUUCGAACGCAAAGAGCAGACCAUCGACCACUUUGACCUCAAAUCAGGUAGGACUACCCGCUGAACUUAA
rnacentral:rRNA from 1 species